AAUCUAGCAGCUGUUUCAUUCAAAGGGAAAUUCACCAUGUUGUUGCUUCCACUUCAGGAGACAGCAGCUACACCCAACAGAUCAGCUGAUAUGCAUUCAUGGCAGGUGGCCUUCAAAUAUGAGAAGGAAUAAAGAAAAAAGAGAGAGAGACUUGGUGGGUGAGGAAUGAAGCAGAAAGAGGUAGACUUGUUCAGCCCAUGAUCUCACUAGGAAAGGAUCCAUAUCUUCUGAGGACUAAUCAACCAGAGUUCAUCCCUGCAGCAGUGCAAGUUCCUGUGUUUGUUAUCUAUGACUUUAAAUAUACCUCAGAUACCUGCCACUCUCAAGUCAACUCCACAAAGCAUAACAUCACUAUUGAAUGCUUAGGAUAUGGACAAAACAAGAAAUUAAAUGGCUUAAAGUGGUGGGGGAUGUGCUGCGUGUCGGCUGCUCUUUUCCUGCGGUAAAGGAAACCUAUGCUGCUCUAAGGAAUCCUGAUCUAGAUUGUAUUUUCUAUUUAUUAAAGUGUUCACAUGGGCAGAGUAGUGGAUGUGCAGUAAGUCCCCAUACCUUUAACUCGCUG